rnacentral:rRNA from 1 species
GACGAGGGACCUAGCGUUGUUCGGAAUCAUUGGGCGUAAAGAGUAUGUAGGCGGCCUUGUAAGUCAGUUGUGAAAGCCCCGGGCUCAACCCGGGAAGUGCAAUUGAUACUGCUUGGCUUGAAUGUGGAAGAGGGCAGUAGAAUUCCAGGUGUAGUGGUGAAAUACGUAGAUAUCUGGAGGAACACCGGUGGCGAAGGCGGGUAGCUGGGCCAACACUGACGCUAAAGUGCGAAAGCUAGGGGAGCAAACGGG